GCAGAUGUCUGGAGGGGUAAUAGUCUGUCAGGGUCAGGCUGUCUAUGAAGUAACGUGAUCCCUCAGUGUCUCUCUCUCUCCUCCCUCCGGUAGAGAAUCCCGCAGGGACCUACGGACACAAACUGGUUCUUCAACCUCCUAAAAAAAAGUGACGAAAUUGUCUGCAACUCAUUUUGACGAAGAUUUUUGGUCAUUCGCGGCAAAAUCACACCCGGUUACUUAACUGCGCUAAUUAGCAGCAACGUGUGAACGCAGCCUGAGGAAACGUAACAUUGGGAUUUGUAUUACUGGAUGUUAUUUUAUGGAGAUGAGUAAAGUUUUCCUACGAGUUGUCGGCCCCGCCAGGAUCCUCCGCUCCAUGUAUCUCUCAUGUAAACAGGUUUGGCUCAUCUAGAUGACAUCGAUGGAGCGCGCCGACGAUGCAGGGGAUCCGAAGAGGACGCUCUGGAGCCCCGAGGACAGAAGCUCCGCUUCCCUCUGUAAGGAGAAGAAGGAGAGAGGCCGAGGAGGAGGAAGAGGAGGACAGGGGGGAGGAACAUCAGCAAGAUGAUGGAGAGGAGGAGGCUGAGCCAUCACGGCAAUCAACCCCAGAGUCACCACCGGAAGUGGGGGAGAAUGUCGAGGUGG